GACGAACGCUGGCGGCAUGCCUAAUACAUGCAAGUCGAACGCUGAAGCACUCUGCUUGCAGAGUGCGGAUGAGUGGCGAACGGGUGAGUAACACGUGGGAAAUCUGCCUAGGAGUGGGGGAUAACAUUCGGAAACGGAUGCUAAUACCGCAUAUCUUUUUGAACCGCAUGGUUCUUAAACGAAAGACGGCUUCGGCUGUCGCUCUUAGAUGAUCCCGCGGCGUAUUAGUUAGUUGGUGGGGUAAAGGCCUACCAAGACCAUGAUACGUAGCCGAACUGAGAGGUUGAUCGGCCACAUUGGGACUGAGACACGGCCCAGACUCCUACGGGAGGCAGCAGUGGGGAAUAUUGCACAAUGGGGGAAACCCUGAUGCAGCGACGCCGCGUGGAGGAAGAAGGUCUUCGGAUUGUAAACUCCUGUUGUUGAGGAAGAUAAUGACGGUACUCAACAAGGAAGUGACGGCUAACUACGUG
rnacentral:rRNA from 1 species